rnacentral:rRNA from 1 species
GUGAGGAAUAUUGCGCAAUGGAGGCAACUCUGACGCAGCCAUGCCGCGUGCAGGAAGAAGGCGCUACGCGUUGUAAACUGCUUUUAACCGGGAAGAAACCCCAGGACGUGUCCUGGGUUGACGGUACCGGAGGAAUAAGCACCGGCUAACUUCGUGCCAGCAGCCGCGGUAAUACGAAGGGUGCAAGCGUUAUCCGGAUUCAUUGGGUUUAAAGGGUGCGUAGGCGGAGCGUUAAGUCAGUGGUGAAAUCCUGCAGCUUAACUGUAGACUUGCCAUUGAUACUGGCGCUCUUGAGUGCGCUUGAAGUGGGCGGAAUGUGCCGUGUAGCGGUGAAAUGCUUAGAUAUGGCACAGAACACCAAUUGCGAAGGCAGCUCACUAAGGCGAUACUGACGCUGAGGCACGAAAGCGUGGGGAUCGAACAGGAUUAGAUACCCCGGUAGUCC